UACGCAGCACGGAGCAGAAUGGCGGACAAACAAAGUUGGAAAGACGAGUGAAAAACACGGAAUAAAACCAGCGUCAGAGUCGUCGCUUUAGUUUCUUAGCACUGUGAGAAACCAUUACACAGCUACAAGAAGCUUUGGAGCGGUUUUUGUCGAACACGAGCGAGGCUUGGACGCUGAGCACACCUGCGGCCAAGGAACUUCAACCAGCAAAUCACAGAGAGAAGAGACUGACAUGAAGAUUUACAGAAGGUGUCACCACUUCGUCCACGACAUCAUCCAUGAUCGGAGAGACAUGGUCCAUGAUCGGAGAGACAUUGUUGAGGAUGAGGGAGACAUCGUCCACGAUCAGAGACAUUGUCCAUGACUCGUGGUGACUCGGUCCCCGAUUAGUCGGCACUGCCGGCGUUCAGAGACAUUGUCAAUGAUCGCAGAGACUUUGUCCAUAAUCUCAGAGACAUUGUCCGCGAUCGCAGAGAUGUAGUCCACAAUCGCAGAGACAUCCACGAUCACAGAGACAUGGUCCAUGAUCGGAGAGACAUUGUUGAGGAUGAGGGAGACAUCGUCCACGAUCAGAGACGUUGUCCAUGAUUGCAGAGACCUUGUCAAAGAUGAGAGAGGCGUUGUCCAUGAUCAGAGACAUUGUCCCAUGCUUCGCAGAGCUCUGCGCAAGAAUCGGUAGUGACACUGUGGUUCCUCGAUUCGACGGCAUGACCGCGAUCAUGGAGACAUUUGUCGACGAUUACAGAGACAGCGUCUAUGAUCUCAGAGACAUCGUCCACGAUCACAAAGACAUUGUCCAUGAUCGCAGAGACUUUGUCCAUAAUCUCAGAGACACUGUCCGCGAUCACAGAGACGUAGUCCACGAUCACAGAGGGACAUCGUAAGAUGAAGUUCUUUGAGACCAGGACAGAGGCCUCCAGGUGUCACCACUUCGUCCACAACAUCAUCCAUGAUCGGAGAGACAUUGUUGAGGAUGAGGGAGACAUCGUCCACGAUCAGAGACAUUGUCCAUGACUCGUGGUGACUCGGUCCCCGAUUAGUCGGCACUGCCGGCGUUCAGAGACAUUGUCGAUGAUCGCAGAGACUUUGUCCAUAAUCUCAGAGACAUUGUCCGCGAUCGCAGAGACAUCCACGAUCACAGAGACAUGGUCCAUGAUCGGAGAGACAUUGUUGAGGAUGAGGGAGACAUCGUCCACGAUCAGAGACGUUGUCCAUGAUUGCAGAGACCUUGUCAAAGAUGAGAGAGGCGUUGUCCAUGAUCAGAGACAUUGUCCCAUGCUUCGCAGAGCUCUGCGCAAGAAUCGGUAGUGACACUGUGGUUCCUCGAUUCGACGGCAUGACCGCGAUCAUGGAGAUAUUUGUUGACGAUUACAGAGACAGCGUCUAUGAUCUCAGAGACAUCGUCCACGAUCACAAAGACAUUGUCCAUGAUCACAGAGACUUUGUCCAUAAUCUCAGAGACACUGUCCGCGAUCACAGAGACGUAGUCCACGAUCACAGAGAGACAUCGUAAUAUGAAGUUCUUUGAGACCAGGACAGAGGCCUCCAGGUGUCACCACUUCGUCCACAACAUCAUCCAUGAUCGGAGAGACAUUGUUGAGGAUGAGGGAGACAUCGUCCACGAUCAGAGACAUUGUCCAUGACUCGUGGUGACUCGGUCCCCGAUUAGUCGGCACUGCCGGCGUUCAGAGACAUUGUCGAUGAUCGCAGAGACUUUGUCCAUAAUCUCAGAGACAUU